rnacentral:rRNA from 1 species
GGAUUAACGCUGGCGGCAUGCCUAAUACAUGCAAAUCGAACGAAGCCUUUAUGGCUUAGUGGUGAACGGGUGAGUAACACGUAUCCAAUCUACCCUUAAGUUGGGGAUAACUAAUCGAAAGAUUAGCUAAUACCGAAUAAUAACAUCAUUAUCGUAUGAGAAGAUGUAGAAAGUUGCGUUUGCAACGCUUUUGGAUGAGGGUGCGACGUAUCAGAUAGUUGGUGAGGUAACGGCUCACCAAGUCAAUGACGCGUAGCUGUACUGAGAGGUAGAACAGCCACAAUGGGACUGAGACACGGCCCAUACUCCUACGGGAGGCAGCAGUAGGGAAUUUUUCACAAUGGGCGAAAGCCUUAUGAAGCAAUGCCGCGUGAACGAUGAAGGUCUUAUAGAUUGUAAAGUUCUUUUAUAUGGGAAGAAUGCUAAGAUAGUAAAUGAUUAUUAGUUUGACUGUACCAUUUGAAUAAGUAUCGGCUAACUAUGUGCCAGCAGCCGCGGUAAUACAUAGGAUGCAAGCGUUAUCCGGAUUUACUGGGCGUAAAACGAGCGCAGGCGGAUUUGUAAGUUUGGUAUGAAAUCUAGAUGCUUAACGUCUAGCUGUAUCAAAAACUACAAAUCUAGAGUGUAGUAGAGAGUUGGGGAACUCCAUGUGGAGCGGUAAAAUGCGUAGAUAUAUGGAAGAACACCGGUGGCGAAGGCGCCAACUUGGACUAUCACUGACGCUUAGGCUCGAAAGUGUGGGGAGCAAAUAGGAUUAGAUACCCUAGUAGUCCACACCGUAAACGAUGAUCAUUAAAUGUCGGCUCGAAUGAGUCGGUGUUGUAGCUAACGCAUUAAAUGAUCUGCCUGGGUAGUACAUUCGCAAGAAUGAAACUCAAACGGAAUUGACGGGGACCCGCACAAGUGGUGGAGCAUGUUGCUUAAUUUGACAAUACACGUAGAACCUUACCUAGGUUUGACAUCUAUUGCAAUGCUAUAGAAAUAUAGCGGAGGUUAACAAUAUGACAGGUGGUGCAUGGUUGUCGUCAGCUCGUGUCGUGAGAUGUUGGGUUAAGUCCCGCAACGAGCGCAACCCCUUUCGUUAGUUACUUUAUCUAGCGAUACUGCUACCGCAAGGUAGAGGAAGGUGGGGAUGACGUCAAAUCAUCAUGCCCCUUAUAUCUAGGGCUGCAAACGUGCUACAAUGGCUAAUACAAAUUGCUGCAAUACCGUAAGGUGGAGCGAAUCAAAAAAGUUAGUCUCAGUUCGGAUAGAGGGCUGCAAUUCGUCCUCUUGAAGUUGGAAUCACUAGUAAUCGCGAAUCAGACAUGUCGCGGUGAAUACGUUCUCGGGUCUUGUACACACCGCCCGUCAAACUAUGGGAGCUGGUAAUAUCUAAAACCGCAACGCUAACCGUAAGGAGGCAUGCGUCUAGGGUAGGAUCGGUGACUGGAGUUAAGUCGUAACAAGGUAUCCCUACGAGAACGUGGGGAUGGAUCACCUCCUUUCU